rnacentral:rRNA from 1 species
GACGAACGCUGGCGGCGUGCUUAACACAUGCAAGUCGAACGGAAAGGCCCUGCUUUUGUGGGGUGCUCGAGUGGCGAACGGGUGAGUAACACGUGAGUAACCUGCCCUUGACUUUGGGAUAACUUCAGGAAACUGGGGCUAAUACCGGAUAGGAGCUCCUGCUGCAUGGUGGGGGUUGGAAAGUUUCGGCGGUUGGGGAUGGACUCGCGGCUUAUCAGCUUGUUGGUGGGGUAGUGGCUUACCAAGGCUUUGACGGGUAGCCGGCCUGAGAGGGUGACCGGGCACCAUGGGGCCGGGGAUCCGCCCACGCCUCAUGGGGGGGGAGGGGGGGGGAAAUAUGGCAAAAGGGGGGAACGCUGGAUCCAGAACCCCCGCGGGGGGAAGGACGCCCUUCGGGUGGAAACCCGUUUUCGCUGGGGACAAAGCUGGAGGGCCGGUAUUGGUUAAAAAACCACCGCUUAACUCCGC